UACGAAGGGGGCUAGCGUUGUUCGGAUUUACUGGGCGUAAAGCGCGUGUAGGCGGGUCGUUAAGUUGGGGGUGAAAUCCCGGAGCUCAACUCCGGAACUGCCUUCAAAACUGGCGACCUGGACUCAAGCAGAGGCAAGUGGAAUUGCGAGUGUAGAGGUGAAAUUCGUAGAUAUUCGCAGGAACACCAGUGGCGAAGGCUACUUGCUGGGCUUGUAGUGACGCUGAGACGCGAAAGCGUGGGGAGCAAACAGG
rnacentral:rRNA from 1 species